GACGUAGGGCGCGAGCGUUGUCCGGAUUUAUUGGGCGUAAAGAGCUCGUAGGCGGCUUGUCGCGUCGUUCGUGAAAACCCGGGGCUCAACUCCGGGCUUGCGGGCGAUACGGGCAGGCUAGAGUUCGGUAGGGGAGACUGGAAUUCCUGGUGUAGCGGUGAAAUGCGCAGAUAUCAGGAGGAACACCCGUGGCGAAGGCGGCUCUCUGGGACGGUACUGACGCUGAGACGCGAAAGCGUGGGGAGCGAACAGG
rnacentral:rRNA from 1 species